rnacentral:rRNA from 1 species
UUAACCUCGAAUCAGGUAGGA